rnacentral:rRNA from 1 species
AGGAAUAUUGGUCAAUGGACGAGAGUCUGAACCAGCCAAGUAGCGUGAAGGAUGACUGCCCUAUGGGUUGUAAACUUCUUUUAUACGGGAAUAAAGUGAGGCACGUGUGCCUUUUUGUAUGUACCGUAUGAAUAAGGAUCGGCUAACUCCAUGCCAGCAGCCGCGGUAAUACGGAGGAUCCGAGCGUUAUCCGGAUUUAUUGGGUUUAAAGGGAGCGUAGGCGGACGCUUAAGUCAGUUGUGAAAGUUUGCGGCUCAACCGUAAAAUUGCAGUUGAUACUGGGUGUCUUGAGUACAGUAGAGGCAGGCGGAAUUCGUGGUGUAGCGGUGAAAUGCUUAGAUAUCACGAAGAACUCCGAUUGCGAAGGCAGCCUGCUGGACUGUAACUGACGCUGAUGCUCGAAAGUGUGGGUAUCAAACAGGAUUAGAUACCCUGGUAGUCCACACAGUAAACGAUGAAUACUCGCUGUUUGCGAUAUACAGUAAGCGGCCAAGCGAAAGCGUUAAGUAUUCCACCUGGGGAGUACGCCGGCAACGGUGAAACUCAAAGGAAUUGACGGGGGCCCGCACAAGCGGAGGAACAUGUGGUUUAAUUCGAUGAUACGCGAGGAACCUUACCCGGGCUUGAAUUGCAACUGAAUGAUGUGGAGACAUGUCAGCCGCAAGGCAGUUGUGAAGGUGCUGCAUGGUUGUCGUCAGCUCGUGCCGUGAGGUGUCGGCUUAAGUGCCAUAACGAGCGCAACCCUUAUCGAUAGUUACCAUCAGGUUAUGCUGGGGACUCUGUCGAGACUGCCGUCGUAAGAUGUGAGGAAGGUGGGGAUGACGUCAAAUCAGCACGGCCCUUACGUCCGGGGCUACACACGUGUUACAAUGGGGGGUACAGAAGGCAGCUACACGGCGACGUGAUGCUAAUCCCUAAAGCCUCUCUCAGUUCGGAUUGGAGUCUGCAACCCGACUCCAUGAAGCUGGAUUCGCUAGUAAUCGCGCAUCAGCCACGGCGCGGUGAAUACGUUCCCG